rnacentral:lncRNA from 1 species
UUUUACCCUGCCUUGUCGUUGUGAUUCCUUUGGACUUUAUUAAAUACGUCUCUUAUACGGAUCUCAGUCUCCUGCUAUUUUUAACAACGUGACAGAAUCCCGCACCCUCCAGAUGGAGUCAGCAGGAGCCGAAUCACCGUCCAUGGCCGAACAAAUCUCACAACAUGCCAGCCUCCUUCAAUGCCUGGGCACGGCCAUGGAUCAGGUGCUGAACCGUUUGGAGAACUGGGAGAGAGUCGCUCCCUCACCCCCAUCAGUACCUACACACCACCCUGCGCCCCUACCAGCAACCAUCGAACCCAGCACGAGUGGGAUCUGGAUCAUGCCUCCUAGGGAGUUCGAUGGGACGGCCGCCGGGUGCAAGGGGUUUCUCCUUCAAUUAGAGCUGUACCUGGCGACCGUUCGGCCCAGUCCCUCGGAUGAAGAGAGGGUGAGCGUCCUCAUCUCCUGCCUCACGGGUAGAGCCCUAGAAUGGGCCAACGCAGUCUGGGAAGGCCCAGACGUGGCUAGAGGUGACUACCCGGAGUUCGCCCACUCCGUUUCCAGGUGGUAUUCGAUCAUCCCCCGGAGGGCAAGGCGGCGGGUGAGCGAUUAUUUCAUCUGAGGCAGGAGACGAGGAGUGCUCAGGACUUUGCCCUAGAGUUCCGGGCUCUCGCCGCCGGAUCGGGGUGGAAUGAGUGGGCCCUGAUUGACCACUAUAGAUGUAGUCUUUGUGAGGACGUCCACCGGGAGCUGGCUUGCUGGGACAAUUCUACCACCCUGGACCAACUUAUAGACUUGUCCAUCAGGCUGGACAACCUACUGGUUGCCCGGGGACGUUCCAGUCGGGGUCUGUUUGUUCCACCUCCCAGGCCUCCUGCUCCUACACCCAUGGAGAUAGGAGGGACUGCCACUAGGAGGACCGGAGGGAGGGGCCUCUCCUGCGCCCAUUGUUGUCGUAGAGGACACACUGCAGACCGGUGCUGGAGAGGUCCACCCGGGAGUUCAGAUGGCAGGCAGAGCACCACAUCGACCCCCCCAGGUAGAUACACCAACAGCAAAGAAUCAUUACCUGAAAAUGCAG